rnacentral:rRNA from 2 species
CGGGUCAGGUAGAAGUCUGACGGAGCACGCCGCGUGAACGAAGAAGGCCUUCGGGUCGUAAAGUUCUGUUGUUAGGGAAGAACAAGUACCAGAGUAACUGCUGGUACCUUGACGGUACCUAACCAGAAAGCCACGGCUAACUACGUGCCAGCAGCCGCGGUAAUACGUAGGUGGCAAGCGUUGUCCGGAAUUAUUGGGCGUAAAGCGCGCGCAGGUGGUUCUUUAAGUCUGAUGUGAAAGCCCACGGCUCAACCGUGGAGGGUCAUUGGAAACUGGGGAACUUGAGUGCAGAAGAGGAAAGUGGAAUUCCAAGUGUAGCGGUGAAAUGCGUAGAGAUUUGGAGGAACACCAGUGGCGAAGGCGACUUUCUGGUCUGUAACUGACACUGAGGCGCGAAAGCGUGGGGAGCAAACAGGAUUAGAUACCCUGGUAGUCCACGCCGUAAACGAUGAGUGCUAAGUGUUAGAGGGUUUCCGCCCUUUAGUGCUGCAGCUAACGCAUUAAGCACUCCGCCUGGGGAGUACGGCCGCAAGGCUGAAACUCAAAGAAAUUUUGACGGA